rnacentral:lncRNA from 1 species
AGUAAUUAUGGCAACUUGCCAUUUACCAGCAAAUCCACCAAUAAAAAAUUACAGCAUUUUUCUCCUGGGAAAGGCAGGAAGCGGUAAAAGUAGGACUGGCAAUAGUAUUCUUGGUAAUCCAAUUGCCUUUGAAUUUGGAACUCCAACAGAGGAAUGCGCCGUAAAAAUGAUCGAAGAUAAAUCCGGAAAAAAAAUUCAUGUGAUAGAUACACCAUCAG